rnacentral:rRNA from 1 species
CUGGAGGUAUCAGAAGUGCGAAUGCUGACAUAAGUAACGAUAAAGCGGGUGAAAAGCCCGCUCGCCGGAAGACCAAGGGUUCCUGUCCAACGUUAAUCGGGGCAGGGUGAGUCGACCCCUAAGGCGAGGCCGAAAGGCGUAGUCGAUGGGAAACAGGUUAAUAUUCCUGUACUUGGUGUUACUGCGAAGGGGGGACGGAGAAGGCUAUGUUGGCCGGGCGACGGUUGUCCCGGUUUAAGCGUGUAGGCUGGUUUUCCAGGCAAAUCCGGAAAAUCAAGGCUGAGGCGUGAUGACGAGGCACUACGGUGCUGAAGCAACAAAUGCCCUGCUUCCAGGAAAAGCCUCUAAGCAUCAGGUAACAUCAAAUCGUACCCCAAACCGACACAGGUGGUCAGGUAGAGAAUACCAAGGCGCUUGAGAGAACUCGGGUGAAGGAACUAGGCAAAAUGGUGCCGUAACUUCGGGAGAAGGCACGCUGAUAUGUAGGUGAAGUCCCUCGCGGAUGGAGCUGAAAUCAGUCGAAGAUACCAGCUGGCUGCAACUGUUUAUUAAAAACACAGCACUGUGCAAACACGAAAGUGGACGUAUACGGUGUGACGCCUGCCCGGUGCCGGAAGGUUAAUUGAUGGGGUCAGCGCAAGCGAAGCUCUUGAUCGAAGCCCCGGUAAACGGCGGCCGUAACUAUAACGGUCCUAAGGUAGCGAAAUUCCUUGUCGGGUAAGUUCCGACCUGCACGAAUGGCGUAAUGAUGGCCAGGCUGUCUCCACCCGAGACUCAGUGAAAUUGAACUCGCUGUGAAGAUGCAGUGUACCCGCGGCAAGACGGAAAGACCCCGUGAACCUUUACUAUAGCUUGACACUGAACAUUGAGCCUUGAUGUGUAGGAUAGGUGGGAGGCUUUGAAGUGUGGACGCCAGUCUGCAUGGAGCCGGCCUUGAAAUACCACCCUUUAAUGUUUGAUGUUCUAACGUGGACCCGUGAUCCGGGUUGCGGACAGUGUCUGGUGGGUAGUUUGACUGGGGCGGUCUCCUCCUAAAGAGUAACGGAGGAGCACGAAGGUUGGCUAAUCCUGGUCGGACAUCAGG